AUUGAACGCUGGCGGCAUGCCUUACACAUGCAAGUCGAACGGCAGCACGGGGCAACCUGGUGGCGAGUGGCGAACGGGUGAGUAAUGCAUCGGAACGUACCUUUCAGUGGGGGAUAACGUAGCGAAAGUUACGCUAAUACCGCAUAUUCUGUGAGCAGGAAAGCAGGGGAUCGCAAGACCUUGCGCUGAUUGAGAGGCCGAGGUCCGAUUAGCUAGUUGGUGAGGAAAAGGCUCACCAAGGCGACGAUCUGUAGCGGGUCUGAGAGGAUGAUCCGCCACACUGGAACUGAGACACGGUCCAGACUCCUACGGGAGGCAGCAGUGGGGAAUUUUGGACAAUGGGGGCAACCCUUAUCCAGCCAUGCCGCGUGAGUGAAGAAGGCCUUCGGGUUGUAAAGCUCUUUCGGCCGGGAAGAAAUCGCACGGGCUAAUACCCUGUGUGGAUGACGGUACCGGAAUAAGAAGCACCGGCUAACUACGUGCCAGCCGCCGCUGUAAUAC
rnacentral:rRNA from 1 species